UCUCAGGUGUGACUGAAGUACACUGGAAGUUUAUUUUGGAAACCUUGGUGGCAUUAGAGUCGGGACGGAGCAGGAAGCUGUCGUCUGAGUGCACGCCAUCAGACCCCCGGUUCUAAAAAUAAGUUAUCUGUUUCUGUUAUGUUCACCUUUACAGACCCACAGCAUCCACGUCAGGUCGGAGUCAUAAUGUCACCCAUCCUGUACUGUGAAGGUGGAUCCUUCUUAUCAGGGUUUAUCAUCAUGGCAACUGAUGUUGCCCAGGAGUAGGGGAGUUUCUAGAUUAGAGAUCAGCAGGUAUGAAAUAACUGAGCAAUCAGAUCUCUGGAAAUUAGCGUCACACUCCCUAAAGAUCCCUCUGAGCUGUUCAGCAGUGUUUUGUUCUGUCAGCAUUUAAACAGGUUUUAUUCUUUCCUCUCAGCGUUAAAGUCCACCGAGUCUGCAGCUCAGAGGAUAAAAGCUAAGACCGUCUUUAACACAUUAAUGAAACACUCGAUCGUAAAGACACGGCUGUGAUAUUAAUCAGUCUGUUCUGUCACACAGGCUAAACUUUAUUAAUACAGCAGCUCUUCCAGUGUUUACACACACACACGCACACGGGUCCUCCUUUGUGAAAUCAGCCGCUCUGCUGUGAGCACAUUUAUCCAUGUUUCUGAUUGGUCAGAUGCUGCUAGCCCCGCGCCUUGAACGUACAGGUUAGACCCUGGGUGAACUCAGCCAGGUGAAACAGGCUGAUGUUAGGAUAAGUGAACGUAGAUAACGGACAGUUAUUUUUUUAUCUGAUAAUUAAAUUCGGUCUUUUUUUUCUUCGUAUUGUUGAGAUUAGGACGAGAUCGCAGUUCGAGUCAUCAGCACUAACCCCGCCCAUCGAGAAAAUCAGGAUUUAUGCUCCUGCUCUCUGGUGGCACACAGAAAAGGAUUGUGGGAAUUCAACCUGCGCAGAAGCUACAGAGAAACGUUCAGCCCAGGACAUCACUAACCAAUCAAAAGCUCUGUUUCUGAUGAAGAACACUGGUUGGAGCAAAGCCUCGGUGGGAUCUGAAAGGAUCUGCUGACACUCGUCCAGGUUGAUUCCAUUUAUUUAAAUUAAUGCACUGUGCCCCCCCCCCCCCGGUGGGCUGCGAUGGUACUGCAGGUGGGCCACAGUAACAAGUUUAAGUUACUCAUGUACAGUUAUUUGUUUAUAUGCAUGAAUUUGAAUGAAAGUGAAUUGGAGCUGGUAUCACCAGUGUCCCAGAUUACAGCUGUUCUAUUUGCUGAAACUUUUUCUGUAUUUUUGCCAGCGUUGCUCCUCGAGGACCUCAGGCUCCUCCCUGGUUGUGUGCGUCCUGUGAAAGGAGGUCCAGGCUGAUGAGGAGGAGGAAGAGGCUGAGCUGGGAGUUCAGUCUCCGCUGUAGAUGAUCUUUAUGGUGGCCACGUCUCGCUCCUCUGCAGACUCGGCGCCUCUCUGAGUGUUUCCUGUAGAGAAGAGGCUCGAGUUGACCUGGAGGAUCCACUCUGUGAUCCUCUCCUCGCUGUAGUACUCGUCAUCACUGCCAUCCUCCUCCUCCGGUGUCUCUACAUGACCUCUGACCUCUGAGUCCUCAGAUAAUGUUUCAGCAGCUGAGUCAUCGGAGCAGAACUCUCUCUGCUGCCGCCGCUCCUCACAGGCGCCGCCAUCAUCUUUAACCGUGACCAGCAUCGUCGUCGCACGGCCACCGUCCACACCAAUGAUGUCAUCACUCUUCUGCUGUUCCAGCCGCUCAGCGAGCGCCGGUCUGCCGUGGAUUUCGCUGAGUCUGUCCGAUUUCUGGAUUGGUUUCCCCCGCUUUGCCACAAACACAUGAAGGAUCGUAUUUCUGAUGGCAGGCGGAGCUGCAGGGACUUCUCCUCUGCCGCCGACGGGUCUGGAGCCCCUGAUGGGCGGCAGAGGGAUGUUAGCGGCCUGUUUCAGCUCAGAUUGGCCUGUUUGUGAUGACCUUUGACCCGUGGUUAACCUGCUCACGGUGUGAAGUUUAGAAGAUGAUCUGUUGAUCCGCUGGACGCUGCUCUCCAGAGUCUGACUCGUCCCCUCGCUGACAGGCAGACCCCAGCGCCCGGACUUCCUGCUCCUCUUUAAAUCGAACCGAUCGUGUUUUCUGUGCACGGCUGCGUCCGAACUUCUCAUCGCUCCUGCUUGCUGUUGGCUCAGGAGACGGAUCGGACGCCGAGCCCUUCUUUUAAACGCUCCGAGAGACGGUGCCUCCUCCACCCACGUCCCAGCUCAGCCCCGAGGAGUCACCUGAUCUGUAACAGUACUCCGGGCAGGCCGGCGAGGACUCAGACUCUUCAUCAGCUCAUUCACUGCAGACGAUGAGCCACCCAUCACCAGUGCACAAACACAGAGCCUUUAAAGAAGCGCAGAAAGGAAACUGUGAUGUUUGCACAGGGCUGGAGGUCUUUACAGCACUCUCCGAUUAUCGUAAAUCAAUAAAAAAAAUUAAAAACUGAUUAAAACUGAAAUCAGACGUCACAGUAAAUAUUUUAGGUGCAGAUUUAACCUCAGAAAAGAAACAAGUCACAAUGGAUUCAGUGAAGUUAUAAAUCCGAUUGAUUCUUGAUAUAAAAACACAUCUGUGAUAUUUUAUACUCUGAGAAAAGGAAUUAUUCUCUGGGAUCGGCCGUCAGAGGAAACAGAACACCACAAAAUCAUCACGUCUGCAGGUUAAACUUCCUGUCCAGGUGCACUUCGUUUCUAAUUUCGCUUAAUUAAAAACAUUAUUUAUUCACCCGGCCCUGCAGUUUAGCUGGAAAACCAUAGACUGUAUGCAAACAAUGGUACAGAAGUCCAGUUAUGGGACUCGAGUUAGCUGAGGUGAUGCCUACCAGACAGCUGCUUGUAGCACCACCCACCUGUCAGUCACAGAGGCCACGCCCCUAAUAAACUUUCAAUUAUCUA